rnacentral:lncRNA from 10 species
CCUCACCCAGAGGAGUGGGGCCACCUGUAUGCAGGCCCCUCCUCGGGGCCAACAGGGAGUCAGGGCCUUCUGCCUGGGUACCCGGUGCCCCAGAGGUGGAGCCACUGGGAUCCCUGUCUCCAGGCUUCUCGCCUGCCCAGCUGUGGGUCACCGUCACUCCACUGCUUGAAGCAGUGCUCCUCCCCAGGCACCACGGCCAAAGUUCAGUAAACCCUGGGCUGGUUAGCACGUGGCACUAGGGAGUCAUGGGGCUCAGAGGCUGCCUCUCGGAAGCCUCUGGGAGGCUUCGGAAGGCCAGACAGGGCAGGAGACACACAUCUGCCUGCACACCCACCUCCGCGUCACGAGCACAUGAACUAGCUCUCUUUCUGGCUGUGUGACCCUGAGGGCUGGAUGCAUCUUAGAGCAAUGGGUUGGCCACCGGAGCCUGGGUUCAGGGUCAGAACACCUGGUGGGCUGCAAUCCCAGUUCAGAACCAACAGAAGUGGGUUUCAAGAACAAAGCAUCGCAAUGAGGACCUAAGACCUGGAAAGUGAUGCUCUGUUUGCUGAGUCCCAGCUAGACUGGACCUUCAGGGCCCACUCCUGCCUCCCUGCCUUUUUAGUGUCUCAUAUGCAAGUCAUUUUGAGUAGCAAGUUACAAGAAGGCUAUGAGAGGGGCUGAGGGAUCCAAGAAGGCCCUGACUGCGUGAUGGGGUCUGAUGCAGCUCUCACAGGAUGCGCCAUUUUACCUGGGCCUUGAGGCAUGAGUAGGAGUUCAAGAAAAAUUCCUUCCAGUUGGAGGAAAUACUGUGUGCAAAUGCCUGGAGGUGUAUUUAGAAGUGGUUUGGGGCUGGGCGCCGUUGCUCACACCUGUAAUCCCAGCACUUUGGGAGGCCGAGGUGGGCAGAUCACCCAAGGUCAGGAGUUUGAGACCAGCCAGGCCAACAUGGUGAAACCCUGUCUCUACUAAAAAUACAAAAAUUAGCUAGGCGUUGUGGCAGGUGCCUGUAAUCCCAGCUACUAAAAAUACAAAAAUUAGCUAGGCGUUGUGGCAGGUGCCUGUAAUCCCAGCUACUCGGAAGGCUUAGAUGAGAUAAUCGCUUGAACCCAGGAGGCGGAGGCUG